rnacentral:rRNA from 1 species
AACGAACGCUGGCGGCAUGCCUAACACAUGCAAGUCGAACGAGACCUUCGGGUCUAGUGGCGCACGGGUGCGUAACGCGUGGGAACCUGCCCUUAGGUUCGGAAUAACUCCCCGAAAGGGGUGCUAAUACCGGAUAAUGUCUUCGGACCAAAGAUUUAUCGCCUUUGGAUGGGCACGCGUUGGAUUAGGUAGUUGGUAGGGUAAAAGACUACCAAGGCGACGAUCCAUAGCUGGUCUGGGAGGAUGAUCAGCCACACUGGGACUGAGACGCGGCCCAGACUACUACGGGAGGCAGCAGUGGAGAAUAUUGGACAGUGGGCGAAAGCCUGAUGCAGCCAUGCCGCGUGAGUGAUGAAUGCCUUAGGGUUGUAAGGCUCUUUUACCCGUGAUGAUAAUGACGGUACCGGGAGAAUAAGCGCCGGCUAACUACGUG